AUACGGAGGAUCCGAGCGUUAUACGGAUUUACUGGGUUUAAAGGGCGAGUAGGUGGAUUGUUAAGUCAGUUGUGAAAGUUUGCGGCUCAACCGUAAAAUUGCAGUUGAAAUUGGCAGUCUUGAGUACAGUAGAGGUGGGCGGAAUUCGUGGUGUAGCGGUGAACUGCUUAGAUAUCACGAAGAACUCCGAUUGCAAAGGCAGCUCACUAGACUGUUGCAUACACUGAUGCUCGAAAGUGUGGGUGUCAAGCAGGAUUAAAUACCGUGCUAGUGCUGACAGUAAGCGAUGAAUACUCUCUGUUUACGAUAUACUGUACGUGGUUUAGCGAAAGUGUUAAGGAUUCCCGCUGGGGAGUUCGGCAGCAACGGUGCAGCUCAAAGUAGUGGACGGGA
rnacentral:rRNA from 1 species